AUUGAACGCUGGCGGCAGGCCUAACACAUGCAAGUCGAGCGGAUGAAGGGAGCUUGCUCCUGGAUUCAGCGGCGGACGGGUGAGUAAUGCCUAGGAAUCUGCCUGGUAGUGGGGGAUAACGUCCGGAAACGGGCGCUAAUACCGCAUACGUCCUGAGGGAGAAAGUGGGGGAUCUUCGGACCUCACGCUAUCAGAUGAGCCUAGGUCGGAUUAGCUAGUUGGUGGGGUAAAGGCCUACCAAGGCGACGAUCCGUAACUGGUCUGAGAGGAUGAUCAGUCACACUGGAACUGAGACACGGUCCAGACUCCUACGGGAGGCAGCAGUGGGGAAUAUUGGACAAUGGGCGAAAGCCGGAUCCAGCCAUGCCGCGUGUGUGAAGAAGGUCUUCGGAUUGUAAAGCACUUUAAGUUGGGAGGAAGGGCAGUAAGUUAAUACCUUGCUGUUUUGACGGUACCAACAGAAUAAGCACCGGCUAACUUCGUG
rnacentral:rRNA from 1 species